rnacentral:lncRNA from 1 species
AUUGCAAUUUACAUAUUCUAAAAUUCAAGGUUUUAAUGGUUGUGCAUUUUGGUCCAUAGCAGCUAUACCGGUUUAUACUAGUGAUAGUAAUCUAGUCAUCAAUAUAUAUUCAGAAUUUCAGACAGCAAUGAGCAUGUUGUUGGAUGAAAAUUUGCAGGUUCAUGGUCCUAUUUAAUCAAGGAGUCAUCUAAUGACAUCCAUAUACCAUUAGAGGGGUUCAAAUGACAUUUGUUUUGCUGUCAGAUGUCUUGAAAGUACUGAUUUCACCUUACUGCAAGGGAUUAGCUCCAUAAAUUUAGUUUCUUGUCAUACUUCAUCUUUAAGUUAAAUUGUAGAGGUGUCCAAGGGACUUAUUCAUUGUAAAGGGUCCUAUUCAUUGUAAAGGGUCCUAGAACACUGUAAAUACCACAUUUGAAUAGUGAAUUAAUUGAUGCUUUGAAA